rnacentral:rRNA from 1 species
UACGAAGGGGGCAAGCGUUGUUCGGAAUUACUGGGCGUAAAGGGCGCGUAGGCGGCCUUCUAAGUCGAACGUGAAAUCCCCGGGCUCAACCCGGGAACUGCGUCCGAUACUGGAAGGCUUGAAUCCGGGAGAGGGAUGUGGAAUUCCAGGUGUAGCGGUGAAAUGCGUAGAUAUCUGGAGGAACACCGGUGGCGAAGGCGACAUCCUGGACCGGUAUUGACGCUGAGGCGCGAAAGCCAGGGGAGCAAACGGG